rnacentral:rRNA from 1 species
CUGCCGUACCAUGCUGAAUAUACCGGUUCUCGUUAGAUCACCGAAGUCAAGCAUCAUUGGGCGCGGUCAGUACUUGGGUGGGUGACCACCUGGGAACACCGCGUGCCGUU